GAUCCCAUCGUUCAAUGGAUAGGACACGACCCUGCGAAGGUCGUAAUGCAGGUUCGAUCCCUGCUGGGAUCACCA
rnacentral:tRNA from 1 species